rnacentral:rRNA from 1 species
CCUACGGGAGGCAGCAGUGAGGAAUAUUGGUCAAUGGACGCAAGUCUGAACCAGCCAUGCCGCGUGAAGGAUGAAGGCCUUCUGGGUUGUAAACUUCUUUUAUCUGGGAAGAAAAGCACUGUUUCUACGGUGUCCGACGGUACCAGAGGAAUAAGCACCGGCUAACUCCGUGCCAGCAGCCGCGGUAAUACGGAGGGUGCAAGCGUUAUCCGGAUUUACUGGGUUUAAAGGGUGUGUAGGCGGGUCUUUAAGUCAGUGGUGAAAUCUCCGAGCUCAACUUGGAAACUGCCAUUGAUACUAUUGAUCUUGAAUUCUGUUGAGGUUGGCGGAAUAUGUCAUGUAGCGGUAGAAAUGCAUAGAUAUGACAUAGAACUCCGAUUGCGAAGGCAGCUAACUAAGCAGAUAUUGACGCUGAGGCACGAAAGCGUGGGGAUCAAACAGGAUUAGAUACCCUGGUAGUCCACGCCCUAAACGAUGAUUACUCGACAUACGACGACUACACAGUGUGUGUCGUGAGACGAAGACGAAGUUAAAGUUAACGUACCGUUACCGUUACGGGUAAGGUUAACCGGAACCGGACCGAACGGUUAGGUUAAACGUAACGAAAGUUAGUUAAGUUAGGACGGCGUUGAGACGCGGACCGACGGACGACGACGGAGGGAGGUUAGG